UACAGAGGGGGCUAGCGUUAUUCGGAAUUAUUGGGCGUAAAGGGCGCGUAGGCGGCCACGCGUGUCUUUCGUGAAAUCCCUCGGCUUAACUGAGGACGUGCGGAAGAAACUGCGAGGCUUGAGUCCGGGAGAGGGGGGUGGAAUUCCCAGUGUAGCGGUGAAAUGCGUAGAUAUUGGGAGGAACACCGGUGGCGAAGGCGGCCCCCUGGACAGGUACUGACGCUGAGGCGCGAAAGCGUGGGUAGCAAACGGG
rnacentral:rRNA from 1 species